rnacentral:rRNA from 1 species
CCUACGGGCGGCAGCAGUGAGGAAUAUUGGUCAAUGGACGAGAGUCUGAACCAGCCAAGUAGCGUGAAGGAUGACUGCCCUAUGGGUUGUAAACUUCUUUUAUAUGGGAAUAAACUGUUCCACGUGUGGGUUUUUGUAUGUACCAUAUGAAUAAGGAUCGGCUAAUUCCGUGCCAGCAGCCGCGGUAAUACGGAGGAUCCGAGCGUUAUCCGGAUUUAUUGGGUUUAAAGGGAGCGUAGGUGGAUUGUUAAGUCAGUUGUGAAAGUUUGCGGCUCAACCGUAAAAUUGCAGUUGAAACUGGCAGUCUUGAGUACAGUAGAGGUGGGCGGAAUUCGUGGUGUAGCGGUGAAAUGCUUAGAUAUCACGAAGAACUCCGAUUGCGAAGGCAGCUCACUGGAGUGCAACUGACACUGAGGCUCGAAGGUGUGGGUAUCAAACAGGAUUAGAUACCCCUGUAGUC